rnacentral:rRNA from 1 species
UAAGGAAUCUUCGGCAAUGGGGGCAACCCUGACCGAGCAACGCCGCGUGAGUGAAGAAGGUUUUCGGAUCGUAAAGCUCUGUUGUAAGAGAAGAACGUGUGUGAGAGUGGAAAGUUCACACAGUGACGGUAACUUACCAGAAAGGGACGGCUAACUACGUGCCAG